rnacentral:rRNA from 1 species
GACGAACGCUGGCGGCGUGCUUAACACAUGCCAGUCGAACGGAAAGGCCCUGCUUUUGUGGGGUGCUCGAGUGGCGAACGGGUGAGUAACACGUGAGUAACCUGCCCUUGACUUUGGGAUAACUUCAGGAAACUGGGGCUAAUACCGGAUAGGAGCUCCUGCUGCAUGGUGGGGGUUGGAAAGUUUCGGCGGUUGGGGAUGGACUCGCGGCUUAUCAGCUUGUUGGUGGGGUAGUGGCUUACCAAGGCUUUGACGGGUAGCCGGCCUGAGAGGGUGACCGGGCACAUUGGGACUGAGAUACGGCCCAGACUCCUACGGGAGGCAGCAGUGGGGAAUAUUGCACAAUGGGCGGAAGCCUGAUGCAGCAACGCCGCGUGCGGGAUGACGGCCUGCGGGUUGUAAACCGCUUUCGCCUGUGACGAAGCGUGAGUGACGGUAAUGGGUAAAGAAGCACCGGCUAACUACGUG